rnacentral:rRNA from 2 species
UAAUAAACUAAAACUUUCAACAACGGAUCUCUUGGUUCUGGCAUCGAUGAAGAACGCAGCGAAAUGCGAUAAGUAAUGUGAAUUGCAGAAUUCAGUGAAUCAUCGAAUCUUUGAACGCACAUUGCGCCCCUUGGUAUUCCGAGGGGCAUGCCUGUUCGAGCGUCAUUUCAACCCUCAAGCUCUGCUUGGUAUUGGGCUCCGUCCUCC